GAGGUUCUGGUUCGAGGCUAGAGGGGGCGGACAGUGGACCUCCCUCCCCGGACUCAGGACGAUGGUACAGCCUGCUCCGCCAGCAUCACGUGGGCGGCCCCUCUGUGACGUCGACGUCUUCGCUGUAGCAAAGCUCGGCCUCUGGAAUUCUGAGAACUAAUUUGCUAUUCGGUGACAUAAGAGGGGGAGUGCGCUUUGCUUUCCUGGGGUCUGGGGCUAAUUCCUCCUCUCUUACCCAUAAACUCAGCUCCUGGAGCUAAAUUACACGAAAGGGAGCGAGAGAGUCGAACCGUUGGGAAAAGUCUGUUAUAUAUACUAGGUUUAGAAGCGAGUCAGAGAAAAAACAAACACCACAGCUCUUUGCAGCUAGAAUAGUAGGCACCACGAGAAAAAUAUUUGCCAAGCAGUUUUCGAAGCCUAUCUGAAGCCGGCUUGAUGGCAGGGAGAGCUGGAGAGCGGAAGAAUGUGCAGAGGGAGGGAGUGCUUGGUACUUUUCCAUUCACAUCUCCACAGUGGCUUUUCUUGUUUAUUUCAGCCUCCACCCGAAGGAACCUUUCUGUUGCUUGAAAUUCGAGUCAUUAAACUGUUCCCUGUGGUCAGACUA